UUUUGGACAAUGGGCGCAAGCCUGAUCCAGCCAUUCCGCGUGAGUGAAGAAGGCCUUCGGGUUGUAAAGCUCUUUCGCAAGGGAAGAAAACUUACUUUUUAAUAAAGAGUGAGGUUGACGGUACCUUGAUAAGAAGCACCGGCUAACUACGUGCCAGCAGCCGCGGUAAUACGUAGGGUGCGAGCGUUAAUCGGAAUUACUGGGCGUAAAGCGUGCGCAGGCGGCUUUGUAAGUCAGAUGUGAAAUCCCCGAGCUCAACUUGGGAACUGCGUUUGAAACUACAAGGCUAGAAUAUGUCAGAGGGGGGUAGAAUUCCACGUGUAGCAGUGAAAUGCGUAGAGAUGGGAGGAAUACCAAGGCGAAGGCGGCCCCCUGGGGUGGAUUACGCUCCUGCACGAGG
rnacentral:rRNA from 1 species